GGCCAUUUCUCCAAAACUGCAAUGCUUUCUGUUGCACGGUUAAACAUAUAGGAUCACAGCAGACAGCACCCAGUGAGAUAAAGUGGCCUGGAUGACUUUAUUAGAUAAUACAAUUUGUAUUUAGCUCUUAUUUAGCUCAUUAUUAGUAAUGCAUGUGUUUAAUUAUGCAUUUUUUCAAUGGAGUUAUACUUAAAAACAGCUUGCAAAUGCUGCAGAUCUCUUGUCUGCAGCCUUUGCCGAGUCAUAGAUUGAAGGGUAAAAGUUACCAGGAGAGGUUAAAGGAUCUUAACUUGUACAGCCAGGGCCGGUGCAAAGAGUUUUGACUACACAGGCAAAGAUGCAUUUUAACAGCCCCCCGACACACCCCCCCUUAAAAAAAAUGCUUCUUUACCUGUGUGUCUUGUAACUCCCCUCUCCUCUUUAGUGUAUUUUAUCCCCCUUUACUAUGUCUAACACCCCCUUGGGUGUCUCUUACAACCCCCCUUGUGUAUCUGUUUCUUUCCCCAGCCCUGUUGUGUUUCUAUUUCCUCCCCCCAGGGGCUGAGAGGGGUGGACAGGGACACAUGGGUUGUAGUGGGGGGAUAGGAGUUGAGAGGGUGUGGACAGGAGCUG